rnacentral:rRNA from 1 species
AUUGAACGCUGGUUGCAUGCCUUACACAUGCAAGUCGAACGGUAACGGGUCCUUCGGGAUGCCGACGAGUGGCGAACGGGUGAGUAAUAUAUCGGAACGUGCCCAGUAGUGGGGGAUAACUGCUCGAAAGAGCAGCUAAUACCGCAUACGACCUGAGGGUGAAAGGGGAGGAUCGCAAGACCUCUCGCUAUUGGAGCGGCCGAUAUCAGAUUAGCUAGUUGGUGGGGUAAAGGCCUACCAAGGCAACGAUCUGUAGUUGGUCUGAGAGGACGACCAGCCACACUGGGACUGAGACACGGCCCAGACUCCUACGGGAGGCAGCAGUGGGGAAUUUUGGACAAUGGGCGCAAGCCUGAUCCAGCAAUGCCGCGUGCAGGAAGAAGGCCUUCGGGUUGUAAACUGCUUUUGUCAGGGAAGAAAUCUUCUGGGCUAAUACCCCGGGAGGAUGACGGUACCUGAAGAAUAAGCACCGGCUAACUACGUGCCAGCAGCCGCGGUAAUACGUAGGGUGCGAGCGUUAAUCGGAAUUACUGGGCGUAAAGCGUGCGCAGGCGGCUUUGCAAGACAGAUGUGAAAUCCCCGGGCUCAACCUGGGAACUGCAUUUGUGACUGCAAGGCUAGAGUACGGCAGAGGGGGAUGGAAUUCCGCGUGUAGCAGUGAAAUGCGUAGAUAUGCGGAGGAACACCAAUGGCGAAGGCAAUCCCCUGGGCCUGUACUGACGCUCAUGCACGAAAGCGUGGGGAGCAAACAGGAUUAGAUACCCUGGUGGUCCACGCCCUAAACGAUGUCAACUGGUUGUUGGACGGCUUGCUGUUCAGUAACGAAGCUAACGCGUGAAGUUGACCGCCUGGGGAGUACGGCCGCAAGGUUGAAGCUCAAAGGAAUUGACGGGGACCCGCACAAGCGGUGGAUGAUGUGGUUUAAUUCGAUGCAACGCGAAAAACCUUACCUACCCUUGACAUGUCAAGAAUUCUGCAGAGAUGUGGAAGUGCUCGAAAGAGAACUUGAACACAGGUGCUGCAUGGCCGUCGUCAGCUCGUGUCGUGAGAUGUUGGGUUAAGUCCCGCAACGAGCGCAACCCUUGUCAUUAGUUGCUACGCAAGAGCACUCUAAUGAGACUGCCGGUGACAAACCGGAGGAAGGUGGGGAUGACGUCAGGUCCUCAUGGCCCUUAUGGGUAGGGCUACACACGUCAUACAAUGGCCGGUACAGAGGGCUGCCAACCCGCGAGGGGGAGCCAAUCCCAGAAAACCGGUCGUAGUCCGGAUCGUAGUCUGCAACUCGACUGCGUGAAGUCGGAAUCGCUAGUAAUCGCGGAUCAGCUUGCCGCGGUGAAUACGUUCCCGGGUCU